rnacentral:rRNA from 1 species
AUACGUAGGGUGCAAGCGUUAAUCGGAAUUACUGGGCGUAAAGCGUGCGCAGGCGGUUUUGUAAGACAGGGGUGAAAUCCCCGGGCUCAACCUGGGAACUGCCAUUGUGACUGCAUGGCUGGAGGUGGGAAGAGGGGGAUGGAAUUCCGCGUGUAGAAGGGAAAUGCGUAGAUAUGCGGAGGAACACCGAUGGCGAAGGCAAUCCCCUGGGCCUGCACUGACGCUCAUGCACGAAAGCGUGGGGAGCAAACAGGAUUAGAUACCCUGGUAGUCCACGCCCUAAACGAUGUCAACUGGUUGUUGGGAAUUUAUUUUCUCAGUAACGAAGCUAACGCGUGAAGUUGACCGCCUGGGGAGUACGGCCGCAAGGUUAAAACUCAAAUGAAUUGGCGGGG